rnacentral:lncRNA from 1 species
GUGGCUUGCUGGGAAGGACUGGGAUAGCCACUGGCCAUAGAAGGUGGGGAAGGGCUGGGGGCUGGAACGUCAUAGCAGAACCAGCUGCACCACUCUUGCUGAUUUAUUCUGUGUCCCUCCAAGGUUGACAUGGCCACACUGUCAAACAGACUGACACUACAGAACCAGCAGUGCUGCCAACCAGGGUUACAUGAGACCUAGCAUGCUAAUGACAGGCCAGGCCACAGAGGUUCUACUGUUGCUUUGGGAGAGGGGGUGUUGCUGUUUUUGUUGUUGGUUAUUUGUUUUUAUCUCUUCCUCUUGGUUUAAGUGGAUAUUACCAUACAAAAUACAGAUUGGUGACCAGCACGCCCCUGGAAGUUCCCUCCCCACCGCACUGUGAUAGGAGACAGACAUCCUACACAUUGUACACCUUGGAAGAAGAGGACAGGUGUGUGGGGAAGAAUGUGCUGAAAUAACACCUGUCAAGUGGCAGAAGAAAAAUCUCGCUGAACUGAGAAUAUUGUACCCAGGUGGACUCCAGACUGUAGGCCAGGAGCGUCAGUAACCCAGCCCUGAGAAUCAGCCACUCUGCAGAGGACAUGGCCUGAGAAGCCUCUCUCCUGAUAACUUUCUUGUAGAAAUUGCUGCUGUCCUUUGCCAACUUUCAAAUUCAGUUUCGUCUUCUUACUGUGGAGUCAUGAGUCCUUGGCUUAUCUACUUUGUCUUCUCAAUUAUAUCUUGUAAAAAUGAAAGAGUGUAUGUAGUACAACGGAAAGACAGGAGCUUGGACACAGCCUGGGGGAGGAAUGGUGACAUUACCAACCUCAGCGGAACUGUAGCCCAGCCAGCAGGCCCAUGGGCUGCAGAAAUGUCAAAGGUCACAGAAUGGAUGGGACUUCAGAGUAAAGCUUUUGUUGGGGAUUACUGACCAACUCACUGAGUGACAGAUACAGACCGUGCAGGACAGGUCAUCAAGGUCCCAAAAGGCAAAUAACUACCAGACCUUAAAGGAAAUUACACUAUGGUACCUAGGACAUUGGUAUAACAGAGCUUUAACUGAGGAAGAAAGUAAAAUAUUGU